rnacentral:rRNA from 1 species
CCAAUAGCGUAUAUUAAAGUUGUUGCAGUUAAAAAGCUCGUAGUUGAAUUUCGGGGUUAGUAGGUUGGUCAUGCCUCUGGUAUGUACUGGUCUCACUGAUUCCUCCUUCCUGAUGAGCCGUAAUGCCAUUAAUUUGGUGUUGCGGGGAAUUUGGACUGUUACUUUGAAAACAUUAGAGUGUUUAAAGCAAGCUAACGCUUGAAUACAUUAGCAUGGAAUAAUGAAAUAGGACGUUCGAUCCUAUUUUGUUGGUUUCUAGGAUUGACGUAAUGAUUAAUAGGGAUAGUUUGGGGCAUUAGUAUUCAAUUGUCAGAGGUGAAAUUCUUGGAUUUAUUGAAGACUAACUACUGCGAAAGCAUUUGCCAAGGAUGUUUUCAUUAAUCAAGAACGAAAGUUAGGGGAUCGAAGACGAUCAGAUACCGUCGUAGUCUUAACCAUAAACUAUGCCGACUAGGGAUCGGAUGAUGUUAAUUUUUUAAUGACUCAUUCGGCGCCUUACG